rnacentral:lncRNA from 10 species
CUUCUCCAAUGAACGUAUAGAUGCGCCCUUUUUCAAAUCUGUACAGAAGCAAAAGAAAAGGAAGACGUAGCUGUGGUUACAGAGAAAUGAUGUAUCUGUCCUGCCCAGUUCCAAGGUGCAACUUGGGGCAGCAACUUGCGCCAGCAAGACAGCAGAAGGAGGAAGAGAGUCCGCCUGAAGACAAGUACUCCUAAAGACUGAGAAAGAGGCCAUCCGGGUACAACAUAGCAGUUACGUCAGACUACGACACUUCCUGUUUACAGGAGACUAUAAAACCUUUGCCCCGUCCUCACUUGGUGCUGAGGCCAUUUUAGGCCUCAGCCCGCCUGCACCCAGGUGCUCAUUAAAACAGCAUGUUGCUUCACACCACCUCAUGUUGUCUGUUAGCGCGCUCUCGGGGUUCGAACCGAUACAAGACCCUUAACGGUGCUGAGUGUCCAAUAAUGACAGGCAUGAAGAUUUAAACCAAAACAUGAGAAUGAAAAUUACCUAUUAAUAAUAUGACACUGAUUUUCUCUUUCAACCAACAAUAAACAUAAUUUAUCCAACAUAGGGCUCAAUAUUUAUAUAUUUAUUCCUUUUCAUCCAUUCCAUUUAGAAAUGAUUUCCCAUUAUGGUAACAUUUGGCUACUUGGCAUACCUAGGGA